AUUGAACGCUGGCGGGAUGCCUAACACAUGCAAGUCGAGCGGGGUAGCAAUAUCCAGCGGCGGACGGGUGAGGAAUACGUAGGAAUUUGACUUUAGGUGGGGGAUAGCUUGGGGAAAAUCAAGGUAAUACCGCAUGAUCUCGCAAGAGCAAAGUGGGGGACCGAAAGGCCUAACGCCUUUAGAGAAGCCUACGUCUGAUUAGCUUGUUGGUGAGGUAAUGGCUCACCAAGGCGACGAUCAGUAACUGGUCUGAGAGGACGAUCAGUCACACCGGAACUGAGACACGGUCCGGACUCCUACGGGAGGCAGCAGUGGGGAAUAUUGGACAAUGGGCGAAAGCCUGAUCCAGCAAUUCCGCGUGUGUGAAGAAGGCCUUCGGGUUGUAAAGCACUUUAGGUUGGGAAGAAAAAGCUUCGGCGAAUAUCCGGAGUGUUGACGGUACCAACAGAAUAAGCACCGGCUAACUCUGUGCAGCAGCCGCAGUAA
rnacentral:rRNA from 1 species